rnacentral:rRNA from 1 species
UGGGGAAUUUUGGACAAUGGGCGAAAGCCUGAUCCAGCAAUGCCGCGUGUGUGAAGAAGGCCUUCGGGUUGUAAAGCACUUUUGUCCGGAAAGAAAUCCUCUGGGUUAAUACCUCGGGGGGAUGACGGUACCGGAAGAAUAAGCACCGGCUAACUACGUGCCAGCAGCCGCGGUAAUACGUAGGGUGCAAGCGUUAAUCGGAAUUACUGGGCGUAAAGCGUGCGCAGGCGGUUUUGUAAGACGGAUGUGAAAUCCCCGGGCUUAACCUGGGAACUGCAUUCGUGACUGCAAGGCUAGAGUAUGGCAGAGGGGGGUAGAAUUCCACGUGUAGCAGUGAAAUGCGUAGAGAUGUGGAGGAAUACCCAUGGCGAAGGCAGCCCCCUGGGCCAAUACUGACGCUCAUGCACGAAAGCGUGGGUAGCAAACA